rnacentral:rRNA from 1 species
GACGUAGGGCGCGAGCGUUGUCCGGAUUUAUUGGGCGUAAAGAGCGUGUAGGCGGCUUGGUAGGUCCGCUGUGAAAACUCGAGGCUCAACCUCGAGAUGUCGGCGGAAACCACUUGGCUAGAGUCCGGAAGAGGCGAGUGGAAUUCCUGGUGUAGCGGUGGAAUGCGCAGAUAUCAGGAGGAACACCAAUAGCGAAGGCAGCUCGCUGGGACGUUACUGACACUGAGGCGCGAAAGCGUGGGGAGCGAACAGG